ACGCUGGCGGCGUGCUUAACACAUGCAAGUCGAACGGGGAUAACGGAGAGGAGAGCUUCGGCAGGAAUCGCUGUUAUUCGAGUGGCGGACGGGUGAGUAACGCGUGAGCAACCUGUCCCAGACAGGGGGAUAACACUUGGAAACAGGUGCUAAUACCGCAUAAGACCACGGGAUCGCAUGGUUCUGGGGUAAAAGGAGAAAUCCGGUUUGGGGUGGGCUCGCGUCCGAUUAGCCAGUUGGCGGGGUAACGGCCCACCAAAGCGACGAUCGGUAGCCGACCUGAGAGGGUGAUCGGCCACAUUGGAACUGAGAGACGGUCCAAACUCCUACGGGAGGCAGCAGUGGGGAAUAUUGGGCAAUGGGCGAAAGCCUGACCCAAGCAACGCCGCGUGAGUGAAGAAGGCCUUCGGGUUGUAAAGCUCUGUUAUAGUUGACGAAGUGCGUGACGGUAGGCUAUAAGGAAGCCCCGGCUAACUACGUGCCAGCAGCGGC
rnacentral:rRNA from 1 species